GCCAUUUAAAAUAAUGUUGCCGUGAUGAAUAACCUUGUGCACAGAGUAUUUCACAUUUUGCUGCUGUAAUUUUGGGACAUAUUCCUAGAAGUGGGAUUCCUAGGUCAAAGGGCAAGUGCAUCUACAAUUUUUCUAGAUCUGGUCAGAUUCCCCCAAAGAGGUUUUUGUAUUUUGCAUUCCCAGCAAAAUACAAUCAGCAAUGAUGAUUGCUGUACCAUGUGUUUGUCAAUUGUGAAUUUGUUCCUAGCAUUUAGAAAUUGGGAGAUUCUACUUAAAAAUCCUUAUUUCCAGUGUCUUAAAAAAAAAUCAGAGAAUCUGCCUUAAUCUACCCAUGGCAACAGUUGGCUAGAGCUGAAUAACAGCUGCCCCUUUUCUAGGUACUCUCUAGGUUACUGCAGCCCCCACUUGGCCAUUUUACUUACUUUUGCUACCUAUCAGUCUCCUAUAGACAUGAGUUUUUGACCCCUGCUCUAAGUAUGGUUUUCUGGGUAGGUAGAAUGGAGACGGAGAGUUUGGGACUUGAAGACAUAGAGGACAAUUUAGAUUAUUAUGUUGUAAGAGCCACCAGUGUGAAUGUUGAUGACCCUAAAGAGGGUGGCAGGGAAUAUGACAAGGGGAUAUUAGGAACACAGGAUUGAAAUCCUUGAGGAAAGCACAUGUCCUAGAGGUCCAUGGAAGACUAACUGAAAAAGAAGGCAUAUUUUUUGUGGUUGCCAUGGUCCUAUACCAAAGAGGUUUUGUGAAGGCAGCAUUACAGAAGGUCUGGAAAGGACCAGCAGCUGGGAGCAGGGAGUGUGCUAAAGCCCUCCUGGUGUACUCUUCCUGCCUUCCCCCAUAUACUGAAGUUUGAGAGGCUGGGAAGGUGCGGAAUGGGAAAAGGAGCAGCUGCUUAUGUUCAGUUUAACAUUCUCUGGGUUUCUCCAUCUAGGUCUUGAGUUCAUUCUCUUCCUGUCCUUUUGGCUUCCUUGUUUAACCUGGUCCCUGUUUCAGGAGAGAAGCCUCAUCAGUGCCAAGUCUGUGGGAAGACCUUCUCUCAGAGUGGAAGCAGGAAUGUGCAUAUGAGAAAGCAUCACCUGCAGCUGGGAGCAGCUGGGAGUCAAGAGCAGGAGCAAACUGCUGAGCCACUAAUGGGCAGUAGUUUGCUUGAAGAGGCUUCAGUACCCAGUAAAAACCUGGUGUCUAUGAAUUCCCAGCCCAGCCUUGGUGGAGAGUCCUUGAACCUACCAAAUACCAAUUCUAUCCUGGGAGUUGAUGAUGUUAUGGAAGAACUUAACUUUUAGAACAUUUAAACAGAACAUAACCAGGUUUUACAGAGGAGAUAUAAAGCAAUUUCUCCAUACCUUCAAAAGCCAUAUCUUCUGGAGAAAAGAAAGGGCUCUCUAGGAAACACUUGCUCCUCUCUGGUAUAGAAAUUUCACCCAAGUUACACAGGCCAGGCCCUCUUCUCUGAAAAACUUAACAGAGGUGCUUGCUGAAGGAUCCCCACGUUCCCUGUCUUCAGUGCCUGAUGUGACACAUCACCUGGUGACCAUGCAGUCAGGGAGGCAAUCAUAUGAAGUUUCUGUCUUAACUGCAGUAAAUCCACAAGAGAGUCUCGCUCCGUUGCCCAGGCUGGAGUGCAGUGGUGCGUUCUCGGCUCACUGCAACCUCUGCCUCCCAGGUUCAAGCGAUUCUCCUGCCUCAGCCUCCUGAGUAGCUGCUACUACAGUUACUAAACCAAGGAGAUUUAACUGAAAGACGGACAUGAGCGUGGGUGCUGACUCCUGGAAGAGCAACUCUAUCUGAUCUCAAAAUGCGUAUACUGGGAACAGGAUGCCUUAGCCCACAACAGAACCAGAAUGAAUCUUUGAAGGCACAAGACUCUGCUUUUGCCACUCUUCCUCUUUCCUGGUAUAGAAGAUGGAUGUAGGAGAGCUUCUUUUCUAACUACCAUCUGAUCAGACAAGGAAUGAAGCAAUGACUGUGGGCUGGGAAACUGUACCUACCUCUCUUCCCACUGCAAAUUUCUGGGAUAGACCAAAAGUGAAUUUGAUUAUGUGUUGGCUGAAGUUCUUCAUUCUGACUGUUGAGGGGAGGUUUUCCUUUGAAGAGUUUUCAUCCCAGACUCAGCUGUCUUUUCACAUGGAUGAAAUAAUUCCUGCUACCAACAACAGAGCUUCACCAGGAAGUUGAGUUUUCAAGAUGCCUUGUUGCUUUGAAGAAGGGAGUGAUGUCAAUUCUCUUGUUACAUUCUCCCUUUAGCAACCUGAGUAAGAGACUCUCUGCC
rnacentral:lncRNA from 10 species